CCCAUCCCGCUGAGUUACUCCAGCAUUUUGCGCCUAACUAUUGGAAAAGCUUGGGCAGGCCAGCACUUUAAUCCCUGGAGCACAGGAGGCUGAGGGGUGAUCUUACAGAGGUGUAUAAAACCAUGAGGGAAUUGAUAGGGUUCAUGCACAGUCUAUUAACCAGGGUUGGAGAAUCAAGAGCCAGAGGACAUUAGUUUAAAGUGAGAGGAGCUAGAUUUAAUAGGAAUCCGAAGGAUAUUUUUUCACUCAGAGGUCGAUGGGUACA